rnacentral:rRNA from 1 species
GGACUACUGGGGUAUCUAAUCCCGUUCGCUCCCCUAGCUUUCGCAUCUGAGCGUCAGUUGCUCCCCAGGACGCUGCCUUCGCCUUUGGUGUUCCUCCGGAUCUCUACGCAUUUCACCACUCCACCCGGAAUUCCGCGUCCCUCUUGAGCCCUCAAGUCACCCAGUUUCCCGACGCCUUUGCCGGUUAAGCCGACAACUGUCAGUCGAGACUUGAGUGACCGCCUGCAUGCGCUUUACGCCCAGUAACUCCGGACAACGCUCGCCUCCUACGUAUUACCGCGGCUGCUGGCAC